UACAGAGGCCUCAAGCGUUGUUCGGAAUCACUGGGCGUAAAGGGUGCGUAGGCGGGUCUUUAAGUCAGGGGUGAAAUCCUGGAGCUCAACUCCAGAACUGCCUUUGAUACUGAAGAUCUUGAGUUCGGGAGAGGUGAGUGGAACUGCGAGUGUAGAGGUGAAAUUCGUAGAUAUUCGCAAGAACACCAGUGGCGAAGGCGGCUCACUGGCCCGAUACUGACGCUGAUGCACGAAAGCGUGGGGAGCAAACAGG
rnacentral:rRNA from 1 species